GCAGUGAGCCGGCCGACUGCUGGAGACUUAGCGGCGUUUGUUGUUGUCCUGGAAUUGCAAGUACUAAAAGGCCACGAUUGGUUUUCGCUUCACUCUGAAGAGAAGAUUAGAACAUAAUACCAGGAAGACCUUGUGAAGACACAGGAAUAACUUUCUACAAGCCAAGGAGAGAGGCCCCAGGGGAGACCAAGUCUGCUGGCCCUUUGAUCUUGGACUUCUAGCCUCCAGAACUGUGAAGACAAAAAUAUCUAUGGUUUAAGCCAUCCAGUGUGUUGCAUUUUGUUACGGUGGUCCUGACAAACACAUACGCUAACUGAAGGUGUGAGGGCAGGUGUGGCUUGCCAUGUGGAGAUUCUUUGGUCUAGCUGUUGGAUGCUGCUAGAAUUUUAUUGAGUGUUAUUAGGGCUAGGACACUGUAACAACCUUUCUUACUUUAAAAUGCAUUUUCUUUAUCUCCAUGCCUAUAGGAGGAGCAGGCAAGCUGGAGGGUCUGUUCGGUAAGUGCUAUGGAGUGCUGGACUCAGGAAAGUAUCCUGCACGUUCAUGCUGAGUGAUCCAGAGUCGCCCAGCUUAUUUGUCCAUUUGUCAGGCUCUGCAAAAUUGCUGGAAUGACCCUGCUGUUCUGUGUCAAAAGAAGGGGAUGUCUUAGCUUCAUUGCACGGUUAAAGUUGAUUCCAGAGUACAUUUAUGCCAUUCUUCUAUUCUGCACUUUUAAGUCUCUAUGGUUUUUCUAAGUAAAAUAUGAAAACUGCAUUGCAAUUUGAGUUCUGUUGGAAAUUAUAGCUGCAGCAGGCUAACCUCAAGCCCUUCUUUCUCUAUCAAAAUCCUCCUUUUCAUAGGCUUAAAAAAAAGUCUUUUAAUUUUUUCAAAACAUGUGACUGCAUAGCUAAGUGAUUCAGUUCCCUUCUUGUGCUUGGGGGUGCAAAGAGGUAGAAGGAAUGCAGAAUGAGGGAAAGCAGAAUCUAGGAGCCUGGGUGGGUGGUUUGCCUUUGCCUCUGUUCCCCAGCUUCAUCCUCUGACCCUGCUUGUCCUGUUGUGCCUUGUUCUCUGAGAGCUGACUUCAUUACCUAAGCUCUUGCCCUCUACUUUCUGGUUGGUCUGGCCGAUGGGAGGCACUAGGAGAGAGGGAGGGAAUGGAGGGAGAGGUCUGGAUAUUUGCCUCCCAACCCUCCCAACACCUCUGCAUGCCUUCUUAUAGUUCUGAAUUUUUUCCUGUCUAUAACUACAGCUCCUCCUGUAGUUAGCCCCAGAAAGAGCAUUUCCUCCAUUUCCCCUUCCAACCUAAGAGUAGUAAUGUCUCCCAUCUCUUCAAUUGAUAAUCUCUGAUUAUUUCACCAUUCCUUAUUAUUUUCUUUGAUUCUACCCACUCGUGGGCAAAUAGUCUUUUCAUUAUAUUGGUCUCAGUUAAACUUUUUGGUAUGCCCGUGCUAGGACUCUGAUAGACCAUGGAUCAGAAGACAUUUGCUUUCUUAUAUUAGAUAUUUAAAGCACUAUUACGUAUUUUGGCAAAAUUUGAUAUCCUUUUCCUUUCUCAGACUUUACUGAGAAGGAAUAUAAUAUAGGUCCCCCCUUCCUGAUCUCUAAGUGAUUGCUUGCCCUUUUUAAUCAUUCAUGAAUAUGCAUUCUUGUGGUUUUCUCCAGGUGCACACAUACCAGGCUGGGAAGGAAUGGGAUGAAGUUCCUUAUUCGAAAAAAUAACAAAUGUAUAUAUACCCAGUGGUAUGCUGGAAAAUGCUUAAAAACCAGCUCUCUUUGGUGGAGGGAGCCCUAAUUUGUGGAAUUUGCCAUUUUCUGUGGUGUAUCUCUUUCCACCAUAGCCGAUUCAAACUACCAGUAUAUCAUAGAACAUAAAUUGGCAGGAGAUGCUGCCUAACCUGUAUGAGCACUUGCAGGCUGGUACAAGCUGGCUCCAGCAUUCCACUGUUUAUAUUUAGCUGUAGGCAGAUUAGGAUGAAUGCAUUUAUAUUACAGCGGGAAUUUAAUAGGUUAAAACAUUACAGUAAAGUAGUUUGUUGGGAAAGUCACUGUGAGUCGAAAGGGGGCUUACUGAUCAGUUAGCUGUUGAACAUAAAUAGGAAGCACAGAUGUGUUUGUGUUAUCAGUGGAGGGUUUGACUGUGGUUCAGUCAUUCCUGGUUUCAAAUGCAAAUUGAAGGCAGCCUUCAGAUUCCAGGAUCCUGGUACAUUGUCAUGGUUGCUAAACUACUGAGAGUGCUGCUGCUUAUCAUUGAGAGUCCAGCUUCAGUUAUUGUUGGAGGGUUUACUUUUCUCCUUCUCAGAUAAAUUUUUUUUUUUUUUUGGUCUUUUUGCCUUUUUUGGAGAUGCCCCUGUGGCAUCUUCUGAGCCGUGACAGGAACUCCUCAAAUCACUUUUAUGUUUAGUUAACUACAUGAGGUGGGUGGGUGAAAAAUUAUCUGAAAAUGAUAGAACAACCAGCACGGUUUCAUUUGAAGUUCUCUGAAUAUAUGCUGGAAAUAUGAAAAUUAUGUAAUCAAAUCUUGGAGCCCAGAACCCAGGAGACAGCCCUUAAAGCUUAAAAGAACAAAUUUUAGAAGUUCCUGUCAUGGCGCAGUGGUUAAUGAAUCCGCCUAGGAACCAUGAGGUUGCAGGUUUGAUUCCUGGCCUUGCUCAGUGGGUUAAGGAUCCGGUGUUGCCAUGAGCUGUGGUGUAGGUCACAGACGCGGCUCGGAUCCCAUGUUACUGUGGCUCUGGCAUAGGCUGGUGACUACAGCUCUGAUUAGACCCCUAGUCUGGGAACCUCCAAAUGCUGCGGGAAGUGGCCCCAGAAAAGGCAAAAAGACAAAAAAAAAAAAAAAA
rnacentral:lncRNA from 9 species